CUGCGGAGGGAUCAUUACACAAUAUGAAGGCGGGCUGGACACCCUCCAGCCGGGCACUGCUUCACGGCGUGCGCGGCUGGAGCCGGCCCUGCUGAAUUAUUCACCCGUGUCUUUUGCGUACUUCUUGUUUCCUGGGUGGGCUCGCCCGCCAUCAGGACCAACCAUAAACCUUUUUGUAAUAGCAAUCAGCGUCAGUAACAACGUAAUUAAUUACAACUUUCAACAACGGAUCUCUUGGUUCUGGCAUCGAUGAAGAACGCAGCGAAAUGCGAUACGUAGUGUGAAUUGCAGAAUUCAGUGAAUCAUCGAAUCUUUGAACGCACAUUGCGCCCUUUGGUAUUCCAAAGGGCAUGCCUGUUCGAGCGUCAUUUGUACCCUCAAGCUUUGCUUGGUGUUGGGCGUCUUUUGUCUCCAGCUCGCUGGAGACUCGCCUUAAAGUCAUUGGCAGCCGGCCUACUGGUUUCGGAGCGCAGCACAAGUCGCGCUCUUGCCCAGCCAAGGUCAGCGUCCAGCAAGCCUUUUUUCAACCUUUGACCUCGGAUCAGGUAGGGAUACCCGCUGAACUUAAGCAUAUCAAUAAGCGGAGGAA
rnacentral:rRNA from 1 species